GACGAACUGUCCAAACGUUGUUCGGAAUCACUGGGCUUAAAGGGCGCGUAGGCGGUCGAUCAAGUCAGAGGUGAAAUCCUGCAGCUUAACUGUAGAAGUGCCUUUGAUACUGGUCGUCUCGAGGGAGGUAGGGGUGUGUGGAACUUCCAGUGGAGCGGUGAAAUGCGUUGAUAUUGGAAGGAACGCCGGAGGCGAAAGCGACGCACUGGACCUUUUCUGACGCUGAGGCGCGAAAGCUAGGGGAGCAAACGGG
rnacentral:rRNA from 1 species